AAAAUCUGAGUCCAAUUGCUUCUCCAAAUCCCCAAAUCUUCAUUUGAAAUUUCAAGCCCUAGUUCAUCAAUGUUUACACCUAAUUUCAGAGAAUUAGUGGUUGAUUCUUCAAUAAAAUGACGUAUUAAGACCACGAUACUUACCUGCAAUCACUUCCCGUCGAAAUACCCUUCAAAAUCCGUCAAUGAACUCUCAAGGAAUUGUAAAAAUGGAGGAAAUAAUAUGAAGCUCGCGGAUGAAAUAACCCUUAAAACUUAACUUUCCAGGUGACUUUUCCUUUAUGC
rnacentral:lncRNA from 1 species